rnacentral:lncRNA from 1 species
GUUAGAUUGCUCGGUGCUCCUCCUUUCGGGAAUACAGGAUCUGUUGUGAUGAGUGUAACUUCAUGACCUCUCUUGGCUAGUUCGUGCAUUAAAGGUCGAAACACUAUUUGAUGACUGAUCGACGGAGUAGGAAACACUGCCAAAAUCCUUCCGGCUUCAUUUGGAAAUACAAUUAAUAUUAAACACGUAACAAAGGUUGAGAUUAUCAUUUUGGAAUAUUUAACUAAAGGUCGUUAGACUCCGAGGGUUGUUUAACGUAUACUGACGCUUAUUUAAACGAGUGUUAAGUUUAAAAGCUUUGUAGAUAUAGUGAUACAAGUCGUUAACUUAUAGGACCUUCAGUAUCAAUAGUAACGAUGACUGACUUAGAAAAAAAGAUUU